AACGUAGGUACCGAGCGUUAUCCGGAUUUACUGGGCGUAAAGCGCGUUCAGGCGGUUUGGCAAGUCGGGCAUGAAAUCUCUCGGCUCAACCGGGAGAGGUUGUCCGAUACUUCCAGACUUGAGGGCAGUGGAGGGUGGUGGAAUUCCGGGUGUAGUGGUGAAAUGCGUAGAUAUCCGGAGGAACACCAGUGGCGAAAGCGGCCACCUGGACUGCACCUGACGCUGACACGCGAAAGCUAGGGGAGCGAACGGG
rnacentral:rRNA from 1 species